rnacentral:misc_RNA from 2 species
AAGAGUUGUUGGUAGCUUGCUACCUCCUCUCCACCCUUUGUUUACAUUACCAUUGUUGCUUUGGCAGGUCCGUCUCCGGACCACCGGCUUUGGCUGGUCAGUACCUGCCAGAGGACCCAAAACUCUGUUUAAUCAUAUUGUCUGAGUACUAUAUAAUAGUUA